rnacentral:rRNA from 1 species
UAGCGGCGAACGGGUGAGUAACACGUGGGCAACCUGCCCUCAGCUCUGGGAUAAGCCCGGGAAACCGGGUCUAAUACCGGAUAUGACUCCGACAGGCAUCUUGCGGAGUGGAAAGAUUCAUCGGCUGAGGAUGGGCCCGCGGCCUAUCAGCUUGUUGGUGGGGUAACGGCCUACCAAGGCGACGACGGGUAGCCGGCCUGAGAGGGCGACCGGCCACACUGGGACUGAGACACGGCCCAGACUCCUACGGGAGGCAGCAGUGGGGAAUCUUGCACAAUGGGCGAAAGCCUGAUGCAGCGACGCCGCGUGAGGGAUGACGGCCUUCGGGUUGUAAACCUCUUUCAGCAGGGACGAAGCGAAAGUGACGGUACCUGCAGAAGAAGGACCGGCCAACUACGUGCCAGCAGCCGCGGUAAUACGUAGGGUCCAAGCGUUGUCCGGAAUUAUUGGGCGUAAAGAGCUCGUAGGCGGCCUGUCGCGUCGGCUGUGAAAACCUGGGGCUCAACCCCGGGCCUGCAGCCGAUACGGGCAGGCUAGAAUUCGGUAGGGGAGACUGGAACUCCUGGUGUAGCGGUGAAAUGCGCAGAUAUCAGGAAGAACACCGGUGGCGAAGGCGGGUCUCUGGGCCGAUAUUGACGCUG